rfam:Perkinsus marinus ATCC 50983 gcontig_1104296277148, whole genome shotgun sequence.
GACAGUUUGGCCGAGUGGUCCAAGGCGCUGGCUUUAGGCGUCAGUCCGAAAGGGCGUGGGUUCGAACCCCCACAGCUGUCA